GACGAACGCUGGCGGCGUGCCUAAUACAUGCAAGUAGAACGCUGAAGAGAGGAGCUUGCUCUUCUUGGAUGAGUUGCGAACGGGUGAGUAACGCGUAGGUAACCUGCCUUGUAGCGGGGGAUAACUAUUGGAAACGAUAGCUAAUACCGCAUAACAAUGGAUGACACAUGUCAUUUAUUUGAAAGGGGCAAUUGCUCCACUACAAGAUGGACCUGCGUUGUAUUAGCUAGUAGGUGAGGUAAUGGCUCACCUAGGCGACGAUACAUAGCCGACCUGAGAGGGUGAUCGGCCACACUGGGACUGAGACACGGCCCAGACUCCUACGGGAGGCAGCAGUAGGGAAUCUUCGGCAAUGGGGGCAACCCUGACCGAGCAACGCCGCGUGAGUGAAGAAGGUUUUCGGAUCGUAAAGCUCUGUUGUAAGUCAAGAACGGGUGUGAGAGUGGAAAGUUCACACUGUGACGGUAGCUUACCAGAAAGGGACGGCUAACUACGUGCCAGCAGCCGCGGUAAUACGUAGGUCCCGAGCGUUGUCCGGAUUUAUUGGGCGUAAAGCGAGCGCAGGCGGUUUGAUAAGUCUGAAGUUAAAGGCUGUGGCUCAACCAUAGUUCGCUUUGGAAACUGUCAAACUUGAGUGCAGAAGGGGAGAGUGGAAUUCCAUGUGUAGCGGUGAAAUGCGUAGAUAUAUGGAGGAACACCGGUGGCGAAAGCGGCUCUCUGGUCUGUAACUGACGCUGAGGCUCGAAAGCGUGGGGAGCGAACAGGAUUAGAUACCCUGGUAGUCCACGCCGUAAACGAUGAGUGCUAGGUGUUGGAUCCUUUCCGGGAUUCAGUGCCGCAGCUAACGCAUUAAGCACUCCGCCUGGGGAGUACGACCGCAAGGUUGAAACUCAAAGGAAUUGACGGGGGCCCGCACAAGCGGUGGAGCAUGUGGUUUAAUUCGAAGCAACGCGAAGAACCUUACCAGGUCUUGACAUCCCGAUGCUAUUUCUAGAGAUAGAAAGUUACUUCGGUACAUCGGUGACAGGUGGUGCAUGGUUGUCGUCAGCUCGUGUCGUGAGAUGUUGGGUUAAGUCCCGCAACGAGCGCAACCCCUAUUGUUAGUUGCCAUCAUUCAGUUGGGCACUCUAGCGAGACUGCCGGUAAUAAACCGGAGGAAGGUGGGGAUGACGUCAAAUCAUCAUGCCCCUUAUGACCUGGGCUACACACGUGCUACAAUGGUUGGUACAACGAGUUGCGAGUCGGUGACGGCGAGCUAAUCUCUUAAAGCCAAUCUCAGUUCGGAUUGUAGGCUGCAACUCGCCUACAUGAAGUCGGAAUCGCUAGUAAUCGCGGAUCAGCACGCCGCGGUGAAUACGUUCCCGGGCCUUGUACACACCGCCCGUCACACCACGAGAGUUUGUAACACCCGAAGUCGGUGAGGUAACCUUUUGGAGCCA
rnacentral:rRNA from 1 species